GAGUUUGAUCAUGGCUCAGGACGAACGCUGGCGGCGCGCCUAACACAUGCAAGUCGAACGGAGCUUAGAUUUUGAAGUUUUCGGAUGGACGAAUGUAAGCUUAGUGGCGGACGGGUGAGUAACACGUGAGCAACCUGCCUUUCAGAGGGGGAUAACAGCCGGAAACGGCUGCUAAUACCGCAUAAUGUUGCGGGGGCACAUGCCCCUGCAACCAAAGGAGCAAUCCGCUGAAAGAUGGGCUCGCGUCCGAUUAGCCAGUUGGCGGGUAACGGCCCACCAAGACUACGAUGGAUAGGGGUUCUGAGAGGAA
rnacentral:rRNA from 1 species